ACCAUAUAAAAUCUAAACACCCUACAAAAUCCAACACAUAUGAAAACACAUACAACUAUAACAAACAUGAGCUGCACAUAACUACAUAAUGUUAUAAUUGGAAGAACUCUAUCACCACACACCAACAUUAUCAUAACCAGAGUUCCAAUAUGCACCACCAUAACUUCUGUUGAAGAACUCUAUCAACAACAUUUUCUUUGACAAAUAAGAUGAUAUGCAAUCCCUUAAGAAGAAUAUUUCAAGUAUGAAAUAUUUUAAAUCAACAAAAUUUGCAGCAGCACACAACAGGCAACAACUAUGAAAUCCACCUCCAAAACCAACCACAUAAAACAUGACCAGGAGCAAUAUCUCCAAGGGGAAAUCGACCACCAAGCUGUAACUUUGACUUUAGUUGAAUCCAAAAACCAUAACUUUGACUUUAUUUGAAUCUAAAACCGACAUCAGAUCAAAACUGAAAUAUAACCUAACAAGUAACAAUCACAUUGAUGAAAAUGGGCUACAACAUAAGGGGUAGGAUCGACAAAUCAAGCCAAUUUUUUUUAAUGGAGAGAGCGACACCAAUUAAGGAUAAAAUUAAUCGGUAUCUAUCCGCUUACUUUCACCAUCGUGCUUGAAUGCUUGUUGGGAUUGGGAUUGAACCAGAAUAAUCAAGUUUCAGGGAAAAAAACUUACCAAGAGCUGUGUUGUAGAUGAGGGACCAGGAGAGCUUUGCUUCCGGUGGUGAUGGUGGCACUGGCGAAAGAAUCGGCCGACUGUUUCAGACCGGAGAUGGAGUGGGUGAGCAAAACGUCAUGUAUAUUGAAAGAGAAGAUGGAAAGUGGGGCUGAAAUAUCAAGGGCAAACCUGCAGAAGAUGUCGGCGAUGCAGCUGGAGCCGAAGACGAAGGCGCCACAGGCGAAGCCGACGACGGCGGCAGCAGAGGGGAUCGGAGCUGCAACAGAUUGGAGUAAAGGAGAGGCGUCGUUGAUGGUUGGGAGGGAAAAAAGAGGCUGUGCCCUGAAAUAGAAGAGAAUGCGAUUGUGAGCAAAACAGGAAACGCCGCGUGUUCUUAUUUUU
rnacentral:lncRNA from 1 species